rnacentral:rRNA from 1 species
AUUGAACGCUGGCGGCAGGCCUAACACAUGCAAGUCGAGCGGAGCGGCGGACGGGUGAGUAAUGCCUAGGAAUCUGCCUGGGCAUGGGGGAGAACGUCCGGAAACGGGCGCUCAUACCGCAUACUAUCAGAUGAGCCUAGGUCGGAUUAGCUAGUUGGUGGGGUAAAGGCCUACCAAGGCGACGAUCCGUAACUGGUCUGAGGGGAUGAUCAGUCACACUGGAACUGAUACACGGUCCAGACUCCUACGGGAGGCAGCAGUGGGGAAUAUUGGACAAUGGGCGAAAGCCUGAUCCAGCCAUGCCGCGUGUGUGAAGAAGGUCUUCGGAUUGUAAAGCACUUUAAGUUGGGAGGCGUUACCAACAGAAUAAGCACCGGCUAACUUCGUGCCAGCAGCCGCGGUAAUUC